UAUCAAUUGCAUUUAUUUAAUGAUAAAUGUUUUAUCAAUGAACAUCUCGAAUCUUGCUCUCUGACAACAGAUAUGAUCAAAUGAGAAACAAACAAGUGCCAGCAGUCCUGCCAAUGCCAGAAGGUGGGGAACAUCAGAGCUCUCCUGUCCCUGGAGUGGUCAAGUCCCGGAGCGUGACCAAACUCAUGGGCCGCCACCAACUGCAGAUUCACUCCUGAGGACAACAUUACACGUGAGUCUUUUGAAUAAGUGAAUCGGUCAACACUAUGUUUUAAAUAUUGUUGUGUGUUCAGAUGGUCACCCCUCUAGCUCAUUGUCCAGGUUUUGUCAUCGUCAAAGUGUGUUUCCCCGCCUUGGUCCCGUCCAGGGGAGUUGGCAAGGGCUAAGACACCAUUUGGCCAUCAAAAGGAUAGAAGUCCCCAUGAUCUGUGUUUGCGAGAUUUAAGAUAUUUUGUCAGUAGUGUAUAGAGAUGGUAUUGAAUCCUUACCAUUGUGAUAGUCCAUACUCACAUCAACCCUUGAAGAGGAUCAUGAUGUCGGCAGUGUCAGUGUAGAUCUGUUUGAAGUCUUGAGCGAUUACAUCACUGUAGAUUUGGAAGGCCUGAGCUAUAGUUGCAUCUACAUCACUCUGCCUCAGGUCUGGUGUGUACUGAGUGAUUCUGUCAAACACAAGUCAUUCGGCACUCACUCAUUGACAUUACCUGACAAGUAAAAGGGACCCAUUUUACUCCUGCAGUGCAGUGCAACCUAGGCAUUGCACAAUGACCCAGGCUGGGUAACAACGGAUUUGACAUUUCAGCAGAUGAUCAACAAUUAUCCAUGAAUACCAUAUUAUUUUCAAUGAUUUUAGCUGUCAAACUUAAUGCACUUAAAGAGCUUUUACUAUACCUGUAGGUGACAGUGCUCUUCUCCCAUUUUGGUUUCCUGUGGAAGUGUCCAUAUCUGCUGAUGUCAGACACUCCACACCUGGACUCCUUCAUCACCUCCAGAGUGUUUUUGUCCAGAACCCCAGUGACCUCCAGGCCAAAGAACGCCUGCAUGGCCUCCAGGCUCUUGUGAAUGUCAGGCUUGAUAAUACUCUGGGAAGUUGAUUUCGUCAACCCCACAUCUGUGUAGUAUUGAGACAGGUAGUCCUGGUGUAGAAGGAGGAUUAGAGACAACAUUUGAAACUAUCAUGCCUAUUAGGACUCUCAUGCAAAACAGUACAUAACAAGCAUAACAAGUAGACUAACAAGUAUUUUCUCGCCUCAUUCUGAGAUAAUACUGACAGUACGGGUAGCAACACACUGAGCCAUGUAAUGCUAAAUUACCCUAGCAACUGUCUCGUCAUCCUCUGGUGAUGUUUGGACCUCUGGAGUGCUGGUGGGGGCAGCCUGACACAGACCCAAACAGGCCAGAAACAGGACCGCGGAACCCGUAGAAAGACCCAUAAUUUACAAACCUGUCAUAAUGCAGAGAGGGAGACCCUCACUUUCUCUAUCACCCUGCCCUGUCCACACUCUAUUUUAACCUGUGGUGUGCAUGGUUCCAAUCAGAACAUGAGUGAGAUGCCAAAGUCGGCUUUGUGCUGUUGAACAUUGCUGUAAACGUUAGGACAAGCCCCUAUUCUCACGGAAGAGGGAUCAUCCUCCUGAUAACAUUUCAGGAGGUGGUGCGUAGAGUUUGGGGUGAUUGUUAGGGUGAGGUUUAGGCAUACUGUAGGUAUACAUUGUCAGGAUAAUGCAGUGGUUAGUUUGAAUAUCUUUGAUCAGUCAAUGGAAGCACAUCUAUUAACAUUCAAAAUUCAAAAUACCUAUUUUAUUGAAAUACAAUUCAGAAGUGUAACAUGUUACUACAUUAUAAUACAAUUAAUACAUUUGUAUUUUAUGUUCUGUACACAUACAGAAAGAUACCACUGGGAUUUAAGUGAACUGGCCUUGAAGACGGUUGCUUGAUGAUGUCAUUUAACUCCUUGCAACACUGUCAUCAACAUUCAACUGAUGAGUUAUCUUGGUUCAUGCAAGGUGAGGUGCUUCUGUAAGUCGCUCUGGAUAAGAGCGUCUGCUAAAUGACUUAAAUGUAAAAUGUCUGUAAGUAGUAUUCCUUUUCAUGAAGGAGUGUAGGAUCACGUCUAGUGUCUUUGACAGAUAUGUUAGCAGCCCAGCCAUGCAUUUGCUAGGAUUCGACUCAGCUCCCGGUUCUGUCUGUAGUCAUAGUUGUAUGCCUUUGUUCCACUGAAGAGGUAGAUUGUACCUGUUGGUGAGAAAACAUGAUAAUGUUUUGUUAAAGUGGGCCUUGUAAUCAAGAUAACACAAAUGUGUCAUGAUAUCAAAAUGUAUGCAAUUGAAGGCAAGGUGACAUGGCAAACUGUUUUAUAGGCUACCUUGUAACUCAAAUGCGGCAUCAACCCUCCUCCCAAUACCUGGCCAGUCUGAUGAACGUCUGUGUUCAUCGUAUCUAUACAUUGUAUAAAAAAAUAAACAUUGAACUUAUAAAUGA